UAGAGUGUAUACGAUGCGUAAAAAUCCAUCUUUCGAAACGUGACAUUGUUUUCAUUGUUGGACCACGUGCAAACAAAGACACACCAAACUUGGAAGAAGCUCCCGCCAACUUCUUUGUCACUCCAUUCACAGAACUGUCAGUUACGCUCUUGAUGCUGAUUGGUCGAAACUUACCGGAAGAUAGGCUACUUUCAAUUCUCGCGAUUUCUCGCAAGGUGCCCCACGUAUACACAAAUCUGAACGUAACACGUUUCUCGCCGGUUACAGCACAGAAAAGAUGAUCACCGACAUACAGCUAGCUAUAUUUGCCAAUGCCCUUGGUGUGACACUCUUCCUCCUUGUGGUUCU